UUCCGGUUGAUCCUGCCGGAGGUCACUGCUAUUGGGAUUCGACUAAGCCAUGCGAGUCGAGAGGGUUCGGCCCUCGGCAGACGGCUCAGUAACACGCGGAUAAUCUGCCCUUAGGUGGAGGAUAACCUCGGGAAACUGAGAAUAAUACUCCAUAGAUCUAGGAUGCUGGAAUGCACUUAGAUUGAAAGUUCCGACGCCUAAGGAUGAGUCUGUGGACUAUCAGGUAGUAGUCAGGGUAAAGGCCUGACUAGCCUACGACGGAUACGGGUUGUGAGAGCAAUAACCCGGAGACGAUAUCUGAGACACGAUAUCGGGCCCUACGGGGCGCAGCAGGCGCGAAACCUUCACAAUGUGCGAAAGCACGAUGAGGGGAUCCCAAGUGCUUGCUCGUAAGAGUAAGCUGUUUUUAUGUUUAAAAAGCAUAGAGAGUAAGGGCUGGGUAAGACGGGUGCCAGCCGCCGCGGUAAUACCUGCAGCUCAAGUGGUGACCACUAUUAUUGGGCCUAAAACGUUCGUAGCCGGUUUGGUAAAUGCCUGGGUAAAUCGUGUAGCUUAACUAUACGAAUUCCGGGUAGACUGCCAAACUUGAGACCGGGAGAAGCUAGAGGUACUCCUGGGGUAGAGGUGAAAUUCUGUAAUCCUGGGGGGACCACCAGUGGCGAAGGCGUCUAGCUAGAACGGGUUUGACGGUGAGGAACGAAGCCCUGGGGCGCAAACCGGAUUAGAUACCCGGGUAGUCCAGGGUGUAAACGCUGCUUGCUUGAUGUUAGUUGGGCUCCGAGCCCAAUUAGUGUCGGAGAGAAGUUGUUAAGCAAGCUGCCUGGGAAGUACGAUCGCAAGAUUGAAACUUAAAGGAAUUGGCGGGGGAGCACAGCAACGGGUGGAGCGUGCGGUUUAAUUGGAUU
rnacentral:rRNA from 1 species